UGGGGAAUUUUGGACAAUGGGCGAAAGCCUGAUCCAGCAAUGCCGCGUGUGUGAAGAAGGCCUUCGGGUUGUAAAGCACUUUUGUCAGGAACGAAACGGUCUGUGUUAAUACCAUGGGCUAAUGACGGUACCUGAAGAAUAAGCACCGGCUAACUACGUGCCAGCAGCCGCGGUAAUACGUAGGGUGCAAGCGUUAAUCGGAAUUACUGGGCGUAAAGCGUGCGCAGGCGGCUUUGUAAGACGGAUGUGAAAGCCCCGGGCUCAACCUGGGAAGUGCAUUCGUGACUGCAAGGCUAGAGUGUGUCAGAGGGAGGUGGAAUUCCGCGUGUAGCAGUGAAAUGCGUAGAGAUGCGGAGGAACACCGAUGGCGAAGGCAGCCUCCUGGGAUAACACUGACGCUCAUGCACGAAAGCGUGGGGAGCAAACA
rnacentral:rRNA from 1 species